ensembl:rRNA 5S_rRNA 5S ribosomal RNA
UUCUACAGACACACCACCCUGAAUGCACCCAAUCUUGUCUGAUCUUGGAAGUUAAGCAGGGUCAGGCCUGGUUAGUACUUAGAUGGGAGACUGCCUGGGAAUAUCAGAUGCUGUAGGCU